rnacentral:tRNA from 1 species
GUUAGAAUGCUUAUGCAGGUAAGUUUCGGCCUUGCCUUGGAGUUAUUGCUCUUCUGAUAA